ACAAUCGGCCACAGGUUGUAGAAAAUAGAGGAUCCCGUCCGCUCUCCUGUACUCAAGCUGCAAACCGGUGGGUUAGUAUUAUCGUGGGUGACCAGAUGAGAAUACCCACUGCUGAUUGUU
rnacentral:rRNA from 1 species